UUCCCCUCCGCCUCUCUCCGCCAUAGACCGCCUAUCGGAAAUCAUCUCCGCCGGCCGGAGUUAACCAAUCGACCCCAAACCGGCACCAAUAGAUUCCUCUACACCAUCCCACCAAGAUCAAAUACAAUUUUCAUCUUAUCACCAUCUUCAUCCAAACCGUAACCCACUUGGCCCCUUCCCACUUUUCUCGAUCAUUGAUGCUUGAUAUACCUCAAUACUUAUAUCAUUAGAUAGGUCUCAAUGACCAAGACCUCUAUGGAGUCAUUCCUUUUGGCAUCUCGUCUGGAGAUCAUUAGGUUGAAUUACGGAUUUCACGUUGAAAUCCAAAGUUUGUGGAGAAAUGAGUUAAUUAUGCGAAGCCUAUGUGUUGUAAUAUUGUUUGAUUCCAGAAAAUAGAAGGUGCUUGGUUCAAUAGAAGUGGCUGUUAGUAUGAGCUAGAAUUUCAAUUAUGUUUUCUUUAUGAUUUUUUAUCAGUGCUGUGAUAUUUAAACUUGGAUAAUCAUGUAUUAAUAUUUUUGUAAUUAACUUCGUGACUUCUGAUG